AGCGGAGGAAAAUAAACUAACAAGGAUUCCCCUAGUAACGGCGAGCGAAGCGGGAAGAGCUCAAAUUUGAAAGCUGGCGCCUUCGGCGUCCGCGUUGUAAUCUCGAGACGUGUUUUCCGUGCGGCGCUAUGGACAAGUCCCUUGGAACAGGGCAUCGUAGAGGGUGAAAAUCCCGUACUUGCCAUGGAUGUACCGUGCUUUGUGAUACACGCUCUAAGAGUCGAGUUGUUUGGGAUUGCAGCUCAAAAUGGGUGGUAGACUCCAUCUAAAGCUAAAUAUCGGGGAGAGACCGAUAGCGAACAAGUACCGUGAGGGAAAGAUGAAAAGCACUUUGGAAAGAGAGUUAAAAGUACGUGAAAUUGUCGAAAGGGAAGCGCUUGAAGUCAGCCAUGCUGCGCGGACUCAGCCCGGCUGAUGCCUGGUGUAUUUCCCAGCAGCAAGCCAGCAUGGAUUUGGGUCGCCGGAGAAGGGCACGAGGAAUGUGGCACUUCGUGUGUGUUAAGCCUCGUGCUGGAUACGGCGAGCUGGAUCCAGGAACGCAGUGUGCCUCUGGCGGGUCUUCGGACACCUUCACACUUAGGAUGCUGGCGUAAUGGCUUUAAGCGGCCCGUCUU
rnacentral:rRNA from 1 species